CCAGACAGCCAGGAUGUUGGCUUAGAAGCAGCCAUCAUUUAAAGAAAGCGUAAUAGCUCACUGGUCGAGUCGGCCUGCGCGGAAGAUGUAACGGGGCUAAACCAUGCACCGAAGCUGCGGCAGCGACACUCUGUGUUGUUGGGUAGGGGAGCGUUCUGUAAGCCGUUGAAGGUGGCCUGUGAGGGUUGCUGGAGGUAUCAGAAGUGCGAAUGCUGACAUAAGUAACGAUAAAGCGGGUGAAAAGCCCGCUCGCCGGAAGACCAAGGGUUCCUGUCCAACGUUAAUCGGGGCAGGGUGAGUCGACCCCUAAGGCGAGGCCGAAAGGCGUAGUCGAUGGGAAACAGGUUAAUAUUCCUGUACUUGGUGUUACUGCGAAGGGGGGACGGAGAAGGCUAUGUUAGCCGGGCGACGGUUGUCCCGGUUUAAGCAUGUAGGCGGAGGUUCCAGGUAAAUCCGGUACCUUUUAACGCUGAGGUGUGAUGACGAGGCACUACGGUGCUGAAGUAACAAAUGCCCUGCUUCCAGGAAAAGCCUCUAAGCAUCAGGUAACAUCAAAUCGUACCCCAAACCGACACAGGUGGUCAGGUAGAGAAUACCAAGGCGCUUGAGAGAACUCGGGUGAAGGAACUAGGCAAAAUGGUGCCGUAACUUCGGGAGAAGGCACGCUGAUAUGUAGGUGAAGCCCCUGCGGGUGGAGCUGAAAUCAGUCGAAGAUACCAGCUGGCUGCAACUGUUUAUUAAAAACACAGCACUGUGCAAACACGAAAGUGGACGUAUACGGUGUGACGCCUGCCCGGUGCCGGAAGGUUAAUUGAUGGGGUUAGCGG
rnacentral:rRNA from 1 species